rnacentral:rRNA from 1 species
CAACAUGAGAGUUUGAUCCUGGCUCAGAACGAACGCUGGCGGCAGGCUUAACACAUGCAAGUCGAGCGCCCCGCAAGG